AUUGAACGCUGGCGGCAGGCCUAACACAUGCAAGUCGAGCGAGCGGCGGACGGGUGAGUAAUGUAUGGGGACUGCCCGAUAGAGGGGGAUAACUACUGGAAACGGUGGCUAAUACCGCAUACUAUAGGAUAACCCAUAUGGGAUUAGCUAGUGGGUGGGGUAAAGGCUCACCUAGGCGACGAUCGCUAGCUGGUCUGAGGGGUUGAUCGGCCACACGGGGACUGAGACACGGCCCAGACUCCUACGGAGGAAGCAGUGGGGAAUAUUGGCCAAGGGGCGCAAGCCUGAUGCAGCCAUGCCGCGUGUAUGAAGAAGGCCUUAGGGUUGUAAAGUACGUUCAGCGGGGAGGCGUUACCCGAAGAGGAAGCACCGGCUAACUCCGUGCCAGCCGCCGCGGUAAUUC
rnacentral:rRNA from 1 species